rnacentral:snRNA from 1 species
GUGCUCGCUUCAGCAGCACAUAUACUAAAAUUGGAAUGAUACAGAGAAGAUUAGCAUGGCCACU